rnacentral:SRP_RNA from 1 species
GCCGGGCGAGGUAGCACGUGCCUGUAAUCCCAGCUACUCGGGAGGCUGAGGUGGGAGGAUCGCUUGAGCCCAGGAGUUCUGGGCUGUAGUGCGCUAUGCCUAUCGGGUGUCCUCACUAAGUUCGGCAUCAAUAUGGUGACCUCCUGGGAGUGGGGGACCACCAGGUUGCCUAAGGAGGGGUGACCCGGCCCAGGUCGGAAACGGAGCAGGUCAAAACUCCCCUGCUGAUCAGUAGUGGGAUCGCGCCUGUGAAUAGCCACUGCACUCCAGCCUGGGCAACAUAGGGAGACACCGUCUCU